ensembl:lincRNA
CUGUCAGGUAUCCCAUCUGUUUCAGUGCCCUGCCUGUUGCAAGCCUCCUGGCCCAUGCUGGCCAGUUCUUCUCUUGUCAGGGAAGUUAGAGAAAGAAGCCACCUUCCUGCCCUCCUGCGUGUGGUGUGAAGAGAGGUGCCUUACAAGCAAGUGCCUUCAUGGUGAGGAUAAGCUCACAGGCUCAAGGAAGAAACACAAUUGUAAGAACAACAAUGUGGAAAAGGCAGGAUCCAAGUAUUUUGAAAUGAACAUAAUCGUUUGAAUUCCAGAAGACAUCUUUAAAGUUUAAGGAGACGAGCCCCUAUCUAAAUAUGGUGGAGAACAAAGUUAGAAGGAACCUGAGCCAAAGAGAAAGAAAAAUAAACACCAAUCUUAUUUCAGCCACUAUUUUUCAGAGGUUUAUUACUUACAGCCGAAUGCAAUUCCUAACUGGUUAAGAUUGUUA